rnacentral:lncRNA from 1 species
UUAGCCUUUUAAAUUAUUGUUAAAAGAAUAAUUUUGUUUACUUAAAUAUUUUGUUCGUUAUUUUGUAUAUGUUUUGUUUAUAAAAUAUAAACUGUGUAUUUUUAUAUUUUAUUUUAUUACCUUUUUAUUACUAGUGGCCAUUUUACUCGCAUAGUUGGUGGCGACAAAAAGUUACUUCUUUAUCUUCAACUAAGGUGGCGACUUUAGUGAUUGCCACUUAAGGUAUACAUUUGGUGGCGAAAAUGUAUUGCCACCUUAUUUUCAUGAAAGGUGGCGACUAAUAAGGGCCACUAAAAAGUCAUAUUUGAUGGUAAAAAAAAUACCGCCACGUUAUCUUUAAUAAGGUGGCGACUAAUAGUUGCCACUAAAAAAUCAUAUUUGGUGGCGAUAAAAUAUUGCGAUGCUAUCUUUAAUAAGGUGGCGACAAAUAAUCGCCACUAAAUGUCAUAUUUUGUGGCGAUAAAAUGUCGCCA